GGGGAGAUACCCAAGUGGCCAACGGGGGCAGACUGUAAAUCUGUUGUCUCACGACUUCGUAGGUUCGAAUCCUGCUCUCCCCACCA
rnacentral:tRNA from 1 species